rnacentral:lncRNA from 1 species
AGGUUGUGGGGAUACUAUUGUGCAAAAGAAAUCAAGAUCACUUCCUGCCCAUGUUCCUGCUUUCUACAUGCUCUCCAAGUGCUGCUGAGUCACUUGCUCUUGGUUUGCCCAGUCACCUCAAGACUCGUGCCACCGGAAAGAUGGAAAUGCUCAGCCAGCGUGCACUGAGGGCUUCCCUCCAAACCCUGCACAUCCUCACAUGGACUUGAAGCAUUAAGACAGAGACCAGUAGUUAAUCGAAUCAGAGUUGUACAUUUUUAUUUUAUUGGAAUGUCACAGAGCAUAAAAUAAAUAUUAAUUUACCAAAUUCUUAAUCAUUUCAUAAAUAAUAUUAAGUUAAUUGACAUCUUACAGAAUGUUAAAUUAAAUAAAAGUAUCUAUUUGGCAAACUGGAGGAGAACACUUCAGUGAUUUUUGUUAUUUGAAACAUCUCAAAUACUUUACACUUUCUGCUUGUGUGAGGUGGUAAAGUAGCAGCACUCCUGAAAUAUUUACUUUACCUCUGAAGUUUAUUUUAUUUUACUUUAUUUUAGGUACUGGGAAUUGAACUCAGGGGUACUUACCACAGAGCCACAUCCUCAGCUCUUUAAAAAAUUUGUUUUUUAUUUGAGGCAGGUUCUCGCUAAGUUGCUUAGGGGCUUUGCUAAGUUGCUGAAGCUGGCUUUGAACUUGUGAUCCUCCUGCCUCAGCCUCCUCAGCUGCUGGGAUUACAAGCAUGUACCACCAUGCCUGGUUUGCCUCUGAAGCUUAAUUACAUUGAAAAUUAAGAGCCACUCUUGGUUGACUCUCAUUCUUUUUUUUUUUUAAGAUUUAUUUUUCAGUUUUCGGUGGACACAACAUCUUUGUUUGUAUGUGGUGCUGAGGAUCGAACCCGGGCCGCACGCUUGCCAGGCGAGCGCGCUACCGCUUGAGCCACAUCCCUAGCCCCUGACUCUCAUUCUUGCUGCAAAAAAAUGCCCUUUCCCUCCUCCAUAUUCUACUCCAGGCACAGAAAGGUAAGUACCAUAUGAUCUCACUCAUGGGUGGAAUGCAAAAAGAAAUGAAGAGGAGAGCUGUAACCAGGGGCUGGGGAAAGUAGUAGAGAGGAGGAAAUGUUGAUCAGCAGAUACUAAAUUACAGUUAGAUUAUAAGAAGAUCUGACGUGCUAUUACACGGAAGGGUGACUAUAAAUAGUGAUCGUGUGUUACAUGUCCUUAGAAGAAAGGAUUCUGAAUGUUUCAAUAUAAAAAAGGUAAAUGUUUGAGGACUUAGAUAUGUUUAACCUACCAAUGUGUACAUAUAUCAAACAUCACAUGGUAUCUAUUAAUAUGUACAGUUAAAAUAUGUCUAAUAAAAAAAUACAAGCUUUGGUUACAAUUGGCAGGUUAGUCUCAACUUUCCAUCAUCCACUCGGUAUUUAUCACACCAAGAAACUCUUGCAAGUACUCUAAGAAUUGCUUGACUCUCCGUCUUUCCUGGCCACACUUUUUCUGUAAAAAUAAUAGACAAUUGAAGAAAACUGUCAGUUUCUGUAGAAACAGGCACAGCCAGACAAAUACAAUUCCCAUAGAAAUGUUCAUAACUUACUUUUUGGAUGUCAAUGUAUUUUUUCAUUAAAGACAAGUUUUGGAAUAGUCUUUCCACAGCAUCGCCUUGUGCAGUUUGAUUCUUCAGCGUAUCUAUUCCCUGAAAGAUUUCUUCAAUGCAUAGUUGGUGCUAAAUGAGGAAGAUUUAAAAAGAUUUAAAAGAAUGAGAGCCAACCAAGAGUGGCUCUUAAUUUUCAAUGUAAUUAAACUUCACAGGCAAGCCAGGCAUGGUGGUGCAAAUUAUCAAAACACGAUAUAAAAGUUGGGUCUAUUGCAUAACACUCCUAUGUUCCACUGUAGAACAUUCCUAUAUGUGAAUACAUGACUGGUGUAACUCCACAUCAUGUAUAACCACAAAAUUGGGAAGUUAUACUGCAUGUAUGUAUGAUAUGUCAAAUACAUUUACUGUCAAGUAUAACUAAAAAGAACAAAUAAUAAAAAUUAAAAAAACUUUGUCAUCCCACAAUGUAUACAUAUUUCAAAACAUAAUAUUAGAAACAAUAAAUAUACACAAUUUUAAUUUGUCAACUUUAAAAAAUCAGAAAAAAAAAAUCUGGUCCCAAAAGUUAGGCUUCAUUUUAUGGCAUUUGUUCUCCUCCAAAGAGUUUUAUUGCUUGUUUCUUUCCCAAGUGGCAAACUACCUCAUGCUGAGAAAAUCAUCAACAGAUAGAUGAAGCUUUUUAAUUACUGAAGAGCAUUACAAAAGUUAUUAAGAAAUUACACAAGGGCUGGGGUUUUGACUCAGCGAUGGAGCACUCGCCCAGCAUGUGCGGGUCACUGGGUUUGAUCCUCAAUACCACAUAAAAAUGGAACAAAGGUAUUGUGUCCAACUAAAACAAAAUAUUUUAAAAAAUAAAUUACACAAUAUUGGGUGCAGUGGUGCAUGCCUGUAAUCCCAGUGACUCCAGAGGCUAAGGCAGGAGGCUCCAGGCCAGCCUGGGCAACUUAGUGAGACCCUGUCUCAAAAUAAAAAAUGAAAAGGAAUGUAGUUCACUGGAAGAGAACCCUUGGGUUCAAUAUCCAGUACCACUAAAAGAAAAAAGAAAAGAAACUACAUAACCAGAAAUAAAGUGUUCAGGAAAUGAACACAUAACACAAUUAUGUUACUAAUAGAACUCACAUCAGUGUUUUCUUUUAUGGUUUAGACUGGUAAUUUUAAUUCAUUUAGUCUAAUGAAAUAGUAUAUUUUACCUUUGAGUAUGACCAUUAUGUGUUUCAAAUGUACAUAAUACCAUUAUAUAGUCAUAAUCAUUUAACUAUGUGAAAAUUAUUAAGAGGGCAUUUGUUGUUAUAUUUUAAUGUCUACCGAUCAUGAUUCUAAAAAUAUGACCCAAGUUACUAAGAGUAUAACAGAGAAUUAAAAGCUGCUUUUUCUAAAAGCACUGACUCUUCCUUUGGGCCUGCAGAUGCCCAAUGGGUAACUAAAAUCAGAGAAGUUUUGGCAUCUCUGCUUCCAUUUCAUCUGUCACCUUUAUUACCUUAAAUUAGGGUAACACAGUUCUGUGUGCAGGCAUAAUAAUAUAAGGUUUAUUGAUCCUAAAUUUACCUAUCCUCUCUUGUUCCCCUUCAAGACAGAGGACACCAAUAGAAGAGUAACUAUGGUAUUUUCAAGAUUUGCAGAGACAUUCAACUGCCAGCUUUUACAACCUCCUGCUCCAGAGCCAGAGAGCAGCACCUAGAAGUCUCCAGUCAUUGCCCCACCCCUUCCAGAGGCAGUGAAGAUUGCAAAGAUCACCCCAAGGUGGGACUACUCCCCUAAGCAGGAAUAAUUAUUUAGGGGAACCAAAUUGCCCCCUUUCAAUAUCACAGAUCUAAUAGAUGAACACCCAAGCAGCAAAUAGAGAUCGCUCCCUCAAAUACUAAGGGCUUCCUGGAGCCAUUCUGCAUCACCAGGAUUGAGAUAAUAAUGUUCAACUUGACCAAGACUUUUAAAUUAUGCAUAUCUCUCACCCCCUGCCUGAAUUCUUCCUCCAUUUAAACCUAAAGUUCUUAUCAGUAUCCCCAAGACAGGGCUGAGACACUUGAUGUACAGUUCCUUGCCUACUCUUCAUCAUUAUUUUUUCCGUUUGAUUUUUGGGGUGAGUGACCAGACCUGAUUUAUUUGGACCCCCAGAGUUGAGCCUCUGAUCUAGGUCUCCAGUACAGUACUUUUAGAAUGAUAUUAGACAGAGGGCUGGGGCUGUGGCUCAAUGGUAGAGCGCUUUGUCUAGCAUGUGCGAGGCAGUGGGUUCUAUCCUUGGCACCACAUAAGAAUGAAUAAAUAAA